rnacentral:misc_RNA from 1 species
UUCGUGUCAUCUUCUGCUGGUAAUGAUGGACCUAAUUUAAUGUCCGUGACAAACGUGGCACCUUGGCUUGUCACUGUUGGUGCAGGCACAAUUGAUAGGAAUUUUCCAGCUGAUGUGAUUCUGGGUAAUGGGCAUAGGCUAUCUGGUGUGUCUCUCUACUCUGGAGUUCCACUGAAUGGGAAGAUGUUUCCUUUGGUUUAUCCAGGGAAAUCAGGGGUUCUCUCGACUUCGUUAUGUAUGGAAAAUUCACUGGAUCCAAAUAUGGUUAGAGGCAAAAUUGUUAUUUGCGAUCGUGGAAGUAGUCCUAGAGUGGCUAAAGGGUUGGUUGUCAAGAAAGCUGGAGGAAUUGCUAUGAUUCUUGCCAAUGGAAUUUCCAACGGUGAAGGGCUUGU